UCAAACAGCGAGCGCACAGUGCACCGCGCGAGGAAAAAAAACAGCCAGCAGGGGUCCCGUGAAAAUAUCUCCUCUCCCCUACCCUCUCUCCCGUGCUCUCCCCUCCCCUGAUCCCCGUUCCCUCCCAUCGCGCCGCCGGCUCCACGCGGCGCCGACGCGACCUUCUCUCCCCCGACGCUCGAGAUCCCCUUCUUCCCUCCGGCCGCGCCGCCGGCUCCACGCGGCGCCCGUGCUCACUCGCUCAUCCAUGGCUCCAUCCCUCCUCCUUGUCCGAUGGAGCGACCGGCAUCGCUCCGUCUCGAACUGCUCCAGAGAGAGAAAGAGGAGAGGAAGGUGUGGCGGCGGACGGGAGAGGGUCACCGGCUGCUGUCGGCCUGCGCGGACGAAGUCGGGCGCGACCUCGUGGUCUGUGGCGGCUCAAUCUGCUCCUGGAUCGAUCGAGGGCCACGCCAAGGUCAUUGAUCUGCUGCUCGACCGCGAUGCGGAGGCCGUCGUCCAGGACCAGUGGGGAAGCACGGUGAGUCUGCUUUUCGUUGAUCUGCUGCUCGACCGCGAUGCGGAGGCCGUCGUCCAGGACCAGUGGGGAAGCAUGACGAAUGUUUUACUACACAUGGUGUUAACUAAGCGCAUGAAGAUUAUGCCUUCUUCAAUGCAAUAUUAUGCUGACACUUUUGAGAGAGGAGAAGAAAGAGAGGGCGACAUGCUGACCGACGACGAUGCAGCCUCGGAAGAGGAGGACAAGAAGAAAGAAGAAAGAGAGGGUGAGAAGAGUCCGAUUCUGGUCAAGAGAUGCCAUGGGGAAGAUGCUGGCCUUAUUUCUCACACCCCGAAAGUCACAUUACUUCUAUGAACCAGAAGAACUAGAAGUAUGAAACUUCCAAGAGGAAAUAUUCAUUCCUCUUAGUUAUGUCAUUAUUUGUACAUGCUUUUGCAAUACUCAUGAUGCCCUCAGAAUUAUUUAAAAGGAUGCAUCCUUUGGUAUCUGUUCAUACUUAUUAUAGAGCUAUGUUUUACCAUCGAGUAGAUCUCUUAUUACCAUGAUAUUGUCUAAUUUUUACAUGGAUACAGAAGGGUAACUUAACGUUGUAUUCAGAGCUGGGUCGACAUGUGAAGACGUGAGAGCUAGAGCAAAUAGACUGUGAGGUUAUCAGGAUACUGGAGAAAUGGGUUUUGCUUUAGUCCUUGUUAAUGGCACUGGUUUUUCUGGUGCGAGUAAAGCCUGACAGUGGUGUACUCCAGGCAAUGUGAAGCUGGGACUUCCCUAUCAGGUGUGACCUUGUAGCCAAAUCCAUGAGUCGGAGGCAGUUGCAGCAACUAACCAUGAAGCGACGGCAGAGAUCCAGUUUAUCUUUUAGGUCUGACCAGCACAAGGUGGCAACAACAGUAGUGGAGAAGGCAUGAAGAGGCCCACAUCUGAAAAUCCGUUCUGCUGACUGAUCAAGGGAGAUGGUCCCAGCAUCCACUGUGACAAUGUUGUCCAGAACAUGGACUCUGGAAACUAAAAAGUAACAUAUUUUGCUUCCAGGCGCAUAAAGGCCACCGAUCGGAUCAGUGCGAAGAAACCCGUUCGGACCGCCGCCGCAAGCCUCGCCUCAGCAACGGAUCAACCUCUGCACCUACAUCCACUUCGACAGGUCCUCAGUCAAAGCAGUGAAGGUCCUUCCCGAAAAGCUUUGAUACGACAUGUGCGCUGGAAAGCUCCAUCUUGUUGUUGGACUUGGUGAAGCUAAUGGGCCCGAGGUCGGUAAGAAGAGUAGGAUGCCUCCAUCUUAUGCUGGUGGUCCGCGCUGUAUGACUGAAAACUUCUAUGAUGGGGUGGCUGUUUUGCGUAUGCAUGCCUCGCCUGAUAUAAUCACAACCUUCACAUGUAAUCCAAAGUGGCCUGAAAUAACGGAGAGUACUGAACCUGGGCAAAAAACAGUCGAUAGGUCUGACAUUACCGUUCGAGUGUAUCGCUUGAAACUUCUUGAGUACCUACAGAAAAUCAGGACAGGGAGGAUGUUUGGGCCUGUAGUUGCUGUUAUCCACACAGGGGAGUUUCAUAAGAGGGAGCUGCCGCAUGCGUGUGUCCUUGUUUGGCAAGAGAAGCAUCAUGACCGGGUGGUCACACCAACUUCAUAAAUUCCUUUAUUUUAAUCACUGGUUCUCAACUGACUGAUAUUGAUGAUGAUGCUCCUGCUACUAUGCCUCCUAACACGAUGGAAACUACAGUUCCUAUGCCACUUAAGCUUAACAGAUGACGAAGAUACUCAACUUGUGGGAACGAUAGAGUUUAUCGUACGCCCUAUGCCUCCACAAGACACGAAGAUUCUGGAUAUCCUCUCAAUGACAGCAUCCUCGCAUGCGAGCGGUUGAUGGGGUGAAGAAGUAGAACUAUGUCCCCAGGAAAAUAGGAGGAGCUCCCGACCCUCCCAUGCUGUCACAUUAGGGGAGGUCCUCCUCCGUUGGAUGAUGGAUCCGCACGAUCCAACGGUGAGCAUCGGAGCCCUAGACCCGGGAAAUAAUUGUGACCCUUCAAGGGGUUUUCAGCAAAAAAGUAAAGCUUGGAGCUCACCUACCGUGGGUGCAUGGGAGGGCUGUUAUUUCCUCCUACGUCCCCUAGGUAUGCUUUCGUAGCUCUCUCUGUUGGAUGUGCCAGUUGAGCAAGUAAUUACAUGGUGUACCACAUAUUUGUUGCUAUUGAUGGUACAUGUUGAUUCGGUCCUCCAGGUGCGGCAUGCAUCUCCAUGACUUGUUUGCUCCUACAAAAGUGAAGAUCAUGCGGAUUCUUCCACAAGGUAAGACUAGGACCGUGCCUCCUGUAACUUCCUUGACUUCGCAAACUAUCGUUUAUUCACUAGCACCAGCUAACACAGUCCGCUGACUUCUUUUAUUUGUCCUCCUUCAUUGAGUUGUUUGGUUUCUAGUCCUCGCCAAUCAACUUUCGUGUUGAAGUGCCCUGUCAAACAUAUUUUGCUUGCACUUUCCUCUUGCCACCAAAUGUGGAGCUUCGUGUGGCUUGUUGUCUCCUCCUAUCUUUUGAUACGUCUCCAACAUAUAUAUAAUUUUUGAUUGUUUCAUGCUAUUAUAUUAUCAA